rnacentral:lncRNA from 1 species
GAGCUCACCCCGUCGUGGGGAUUCGAACCACCGACCUUCUGAUUGGCAAGUCCUAGGCUCUGUAGUUUAACCCACAGCGCCACCCACGUCCCAAUUAAUAGGUAGGAGGCCUCUUUUCCCCUUAGAGAACUACAAUUCUCAGAGUGGUUUAACAGUCAAUCCCUUUUCCCAGGGAACUCUUGAGAAGGGAAUAGGGGGUCUUGAAACAACUAGCAGCAACUGCAACAAACUGCUAUUGCCAGGAACCUUUGGGCGUAGCCAUAACUGUUUAAAGUGGUAUGAUAUUGCUUUAAUUGUAUAGUGCAUAUGGGGCCACAGGUGAGUUUCAGCAUACUUCUGUGUGCAACUGAGAACUGAAGCACACUAUCCUUAAGAGAUGUAAACAGUUGAUUUGUUUGCCAGUAGGGCAGUGCCAGUUGGACAAGUUCUUGCCUGGACCGACUGGUUGGCCAACUGCUAGCCCUCACUGUCCAUACAGAAUUCUUGCCCCUUCCCAGACACCAAGGGUGGAAGCGUUCCCUACCAAUAAGAUUAGCGAGCACACACCAGACCUUGCUUUCUACGACAUGCUUGCAGGAGACCUGUGGUCAUUGCACAGUCAUCUCUAGAGCAGAACUUAGGGAGUCAAGGAGAUUAGGAUCCUGCUCAGAGCUGAGAACUGAGCUCAUCACUAUCAGUGUGGUUUCGCUUUGUGGUGUGUGCGUGUGUGCUUGCACAAGUGCUCUGAAAUUAAUUUUCUGUGCCAAUCUGGGCUUCUGAUUUUUUCCAUAUUAAUCCCUUCCUUGAUGUGCAGACAUCAAGUUCUCAGAAAGCAAAAUUCUGCUCCACUUCAGGCUAUAGGUGAGUCAUGUUUUCAUUCUUCUGCAAACUUCUCUGGAUAUAGUAAACUAGCACACAUCAGAAAAAAGGUUGUACCUUUAAAAAAAAAAAAUCUUACAAGUGCUAACGUAUGCAUUGAGUUACUGACCUCCAGUUUCCCACCAUAUGAAGCACAAUGACUAGGGUACAAUUCUCUUACACGUACCUUCUCAUUGCACAACCUCCUGGGUUAAGAAGACGUUAGCUGGAGAGAGCAACUCUGCACGUCUGUGGGUUUUGACAGCGAGACAUUCACUGUAUUAGUGGGAUGGCUUUUAUUAUUUAACGGAGAAGUUUUACAAUCUGAAUCCCUGAACAUUUUCUUCUCUCCAUGCUUGUUGUCUUGUUAUUAAUAUGUAAAGAAGGGAAAGGGAAAGAGAGAAAGAGGCAGCACAGGGUUUCUCAGCUGAAACCUUCUGUACUAAAAACCAGCCUGGAACGCUUUUGUGGUUGCUUUUUAUGGCUGGGUGUUGUAAACUCCUUUGAAAGCACAAGUUUACAGUGGCUGUGCAGACAGACCUGCAUGUGUAAGAGCAGGGGGUUCCGUGGGAAGUCUCCUUUGCGCUUUAUGGGUACAGGCAGCCAGAGUCUAUUGUUUGAGAUGCAGCAGGUGUGUAAUUUCCUGACAUAACAACCUGUGAAUAACAGGGUCCAGCAACAAACGAGAACCAUGUCAAGGCUGCAGGAGAGGCUUGGGAUGGGAAAUGUAAUAAUAGGUUAAAGGAGAAGCCAGAGACUUCUGUAGUGGUAUGGCAAUCAUUCCUGUUGAAAGAUGCACUCGACAUUGUGUGUACAUACUUGAAACACUUAAUAUUUAGUCAUCUCAAUGAGUUCAGCAGCAAAAACUCGGAUCGCGUGGAACCCACAGAGCCACGUAAGGGGAGUUACCCAUUGGUUUCAGGGCUCCAGCAAACAAUAAAAUUAUAGCGUUGCAAGAGGAGACCUGUUAUUAUUUUUGGAAACCAUUUCAUACAUUUGCAAGUUGCUCUUUCUCUUAAUGAAAACACACAGCGACUUGCAAAAACCAGUCGUCCAGUUGCAACAAUGGAAACAACCAAUGCGAAACAAUCUGUUUUCAAAACCACAGAGUUUCGUUUUUUAAAAUAACAGCAGAGAAACAGGCAGGAGCAUCAAUAGCAAGGGAAAGCUUAUGGUAACAGACACGUCAACUUCCUGGUUUUGCUGACAGAGCCUGAACAGAGAUAUCGAGUCAGACCAUUGGUCCAUUGAGCUCAGUCUUGUCUACACUGACUGACGGAACCACUGACUCUCCAGUGGUUCAAACAGGGAUCCCUCCCUGCAUCACUGGGAGAUGACGGGGAUUGAACAUGAGUCCUGCGUGCAAGGCAGAUCCCUAAUCAAAUGCAGAAGGAGGGGGGAAACCACCUUGUCCAUCCACCUAUCUCAGGACUAAAAGCAUUAGAAGCCCCCACUCAUAAUGUUAGAGUUUGAUGUCGUCCAGUGAAGCUAAUUGUUGGAAGAUUUGGGACAGGCUUCUUCACACAUCACAUAGUUAAACUAUGGCAUUCAUCCCCAGAAGAGACAGUGAUGGCUACCAAUUUGGAUGGCUUUAUAACAGGACUGGAAAAGAUCAAGGAUAUAGCUAUGUCGUAGGUUCACUGUCAGAGGUAGCUUCCCAUUCUCAUUUGGUUGGCCACUAUGAGAACAGGAUGUUGGAAUAGAUGGGCCAUUGACCGGAUUCUGCAAGGCUUUUCCUUGUGCCCUUCCUGAUUGAACAGGUCAUAUGUGUUAUGGAACACUUCUGAGGAGUCGCCGUGAUCCAGUGAUGACAACCACACAUGGAUACGUUGGAGCAAAGAGCCAGUGUGGAGUAGUGGUUAAGAACGGUAGUCUCGUAAUCUGGGGAACCGGGUUCGCGUCUCCGCUCCUCCACAUGCAGCUGCUGGGUGACCUUGGGCCAGUCACACUUCUUUGAAGUCUCUCAGCCCCACUCACCUCACAGAGUGUUUGUUGUGGGGGAGGAAGGGAAAGGAGAAUGUUAGCCGCUUUGAGACUCCUUAAAGGGAGUGAAAGGUGGGAUAUCAAAUCCAAACUCUUCUUCUUCUUCUUCAAAGAUACCAUGCAGUGUUCUGUAAUCAAUAGUCAACAUCCAGUGGUAGACAAAUGCACAUGGAACUGUACAUAGUUGGAUUCCUAAGCACCUGUUGAGCAUCCUGUUGAGCACAUGCUCUCCUGGAUCGUGCUGUGGAAAUAUGAACAUGGCUUUGGUAGCAAGCCACACAGGACACACUAGUUUUCUGCUUCCUAACCGGACAGCUUGCACACACUUCUUGGAAGGCUUUUAGCUCGUUUCUUUGUUUAGUUUAGUUUUUAAAAUAAACCUAACAAGACGCACAAGCCAUACAUUCAGUCUACCUGUGUUGAGAUGUUGAGUAGACUAGUGAAUCUACAAGCCUGUUAAAAAUAAGGGCGCUUACUUACUU